UACAGAGGGUGCAAGCGUUAAUCGGAAUGACUGGGCGUAAAGGGCGCGUAGGCGGUUAGAUACGUUAGGCGUGAAAGUCCUGGGCUUAACCUGGGGAUGUUGUCUAAAACGGUCUGACUGGAGUGAGGUAGAGGGAAGUGGAAUUUCCGGUGUAGCGGUGAAAUGCGUAGAUAUCGGAAGGAACACCAGUGGCGAAGGCGGCUUUCUGGACCUUAACUGACGCUGAGGCGCGAAAGCGUGGGGAGCAAACAGG
rnacentral:rRNA from 1 species